AGAUUGUGCCAUUGCACUGCACCCUGGGUGGGAGAGUGAGAAUGUCUCAAAAACAAACAGCCAGCCAUGAAAGAAAAAGCUCAGUGAAGGCGGGCAUUCCACCUGAUUAACGCAGGUCACGACGCCUUGCCGUGCCUGGAACAUUGUAAGUGCUCAGCCAACUAGUUUAAGGUAGGAAUAAAAUCUUCAAGGUUGCUUUAGUUUAAAUUGGGUAACCUUCUGUGUUCCACGUCUUUGCAAUAAUUUGUAUCCUUAAUUAUUAUACUAGUCACUGUUAAAUUUUGAACUCCAGUCUUCUAUGCAUCUUUAUUUUCCACCUCUAUGCUUUUCUUAAAUCUUCCAGCUCAUAUUGACCACUCCAUUUAAAACUGUCAUCCUUAAAAUCAGAACAUAGCUUAGCAUUUACUCAUUCUUUUUUACUUUCUUCAUGUGUUUGUUCUAUUUAAGAAUAAAAUCAUUGAAGGAAAGACCUUAAUUUUUUAAUAUAAUCAUUGAGGAAAUAUCUGGUUUUUUUUGUACCCUUCACGGUGUUGAAAGCAGGGGCCUAGGAGACUUUAAACUGAUACCACAGAAAUACAAAGGAUCAUUAGAGGCUAUUAUGAACAACUACAUGCAAACACACUGGCAACUAAAUGGAAAUGACUAAAUUCCUGAACAGAUACAACUUACCAAAAUUGAACCAAGAAGAAACAGAAAACCUGAAAAGUCCAACUGAGUAAUGAGAUUGAAUCAGUAAUAUAAAGUCUUCCAUCAAAGAAAAGCCCAGGCCCUGACAGCUUCACUGCUGAUUUCUACCAAACAUUUAAAGAAGAACUAAUAUCAGUUCUCAAACUCGUCCUGUGAGGCCAGCAUUACCCUGAUACCCAAACUGGAUAUGGACACAAGAAAAAAAAUCUAUAGGCCAGUAUCCCUGAUGAACAUAGAUGCAAGAAUCCUCGACAAGGCCAGGCACGGUGGCUCAUGCCUGUAAUCCCAGCACUUUGGUAGGCCAAGGCAAGCAGAUCACCUGACGUCAGGAGUUUGAGACCAGCCUGGCCAACAUGGCAAAACCCCAUCUGUACUCAAAGUACAAAAUUAGCCAGGAAAGGUGGCGGGUGCCUGUAAUCCCAGCUACUCAGGAGGCUGAGGCAGAAUUGUUUGAACCUGGCAGGAUGGAAGUGGCAGUGAGCACAGAUGUCCGACUGCACUCCAGCCUGGGUGACAGAGACUCCAUCUCAAAAAAAAAAGGGGGGAGACUCAACUAGCAUAAAUGAAUUGCAAGUGUUUUAUCAUAAAUAAUAAGCACAACAAAAGUGUCAAUAUAUUAUAUGUAAACAUGUUUAAAGCUGGAUCUUUAGCUUCCAAGGAUUAAGGGAUUAUUAUUGAAUUCAUUCUUUUUUUGUUGUUGUUGGUAGAGAGAUCCAAGAUGGCCAAAUAGGAACAGGUAAAUUGGUUCUUAAUUUAGGCUUUGUAUCUGAGAUCUAGAGUCCCUGGGAUUUGGGUCCCGGGACUGGCAUUACCUUUGUAGGUGGCCCUUGACAACUAGCACUCUCUAAGAACUUAACAUUUGCAGGUGAAACCUUAAAACAUGUUCCAGAAGUUUGGAAAGUGGACGGAUUUCAACACAAGCAUUACCUGUUCCCAGUAGCUGACCAACUAGGAGAUUUCAGAGGUUAGUCAAGUGGGACAGAGCAGGGUAGGGAAUUUUAUUUUUAAGCUUUAUUAUAAAACAGGUAACUUUCUAUCUUAAGUAUUUGGAACUGGGGCUAUAGUUCACUCAUAAUGAUCAAAUAAUGAAAGGUCUACUUCAAAUGGACUACUUAACAUUGAACAUUUACCUUUUUGACUAGAAAUAACUGAUGAAAGUUCACUUAGUUUGGUGGGAAAUAAGAGAUAUAAAGAUAUCUUCUCCUCAGGAUGAGACUCCCAAAGGCAGAUGUUCUCUGAGUACCAGUGUUGCUGAAAUUUAGGACCUUUGCAGUUCCUUUGAGCAUCGUUCUGCUCUCCUAUUUCUAAUGACUCCAUCUAGACUCCUACUCAACUUCUCUUCCUGUGUGCAUUCCAGUUGCAAGUCACGCCCACCUUCUUAGCACUCUGUAUACCCUCUACCUGGACGGUUUUACUCUUCCCAUAUUCCAGCCACCAACCAUAUGCUGAGAUGGACUGAAUAUUUUUAUCUCCCCCAAAUUCAUAUGCUGAAGUCCUAAUCUCUAAUGUGAUGGUAUUUGGAGAUGGGGCUUUUAGGAUAUAAUUGUGUUUAGAUGAGGUCAUGAGAGUAGAGCCCUCAUGAUGGGAUUAAUGCCCUUAUAAGAAGAGGGUAAGACCAGAGCCUUCUCCUCUGACGAAAUUACCCACAGAAACCUUCACAUAUUGGCUGGGCGUGGUGGCUCAUCCCUGUAAUCCCAGUGCUUUGGGAGGCCAAGGUGGGCAGAUCACCUGAGGAUAGGAGUUUGAGACCAGCCUGGUGGGUGUCUGUAAUUCCAGCUACUUGGGUGGCUGAGGCAGGAGAAUCACUUGAACCUGGGAGGUGGAGGUUACAGUGAACCCAGAUAUCAUCACUGUGCUCCUCCAGCCUGGAGGACAGAGCAAGACUCCAUCUCAAAAAAAAAAAAAAAAAAAGGACACUCAACUAGCAUAAAUGAAUUGCAAGUGUUUUAUAGUAUACAAUGAGCACAACACAAGUGUCAAUAUAUAUAAAUAUAUGUUUCAAAGCUGGAACUUUAGCUUCUAAGGAUUAAGGAGAAUUUUAUUAAGUUGUGUAGGAAGUAGAAAAGUUCCUUUUUAAAGUUUCCUUUCUUGUUAAAAAUAAGUGUGCUAAUAACUUUGUUAAGCCCUAUCCUAUGUAGCUGUUAGACAGGCCAAGGUUACUUUAACCAAGAUAUCUGUGCUGGACAUGCUCACAGGCAUGUCCCAGCUCUCCAUUGCUUUUACUUGUUAGAAAAGUUUUAAGUUGGUAGCCAAUCGGGCUUUAGCUUAAAUUAUGAAGUCUGGCUCCAGCCAAUGGAGAUUAGACAUAGCAGUAAAGACGACCCCAAAAGCUUAAGGGAUACAUUUGUCCAUUUUCCUUUGUUCAUUGCACUCUCAUGGCAUGAUGGCUAGCAAGGGUACCUUGCCUGUGGUCCAGGAAGUAAAAAUUGCAUUGCUGAAAGAUCCUUUGUUUCAGUGCUAAUUCUCUUUGUGGCACCAAGCAUCUAUUUCCAACAAGGUGGUUCUUAAUUUAAGCUUUGUUCCUGAGACCUAGAGCCCCCUGGGAUUUGGGUCCCAAGACUGGCAUUACCUUUGUAGGUGGCCCUUGGCAACGAGCUCUCUCUAGGAUCUUUUUUUUGAGACCGAGUCUCUGUCACCCAGGCUGGAGUGCAAUGGCAUGGUCUUGGCACACUGUAGCCUCCGCCUCCUGGGUUCAAGCGAUUCUCCUGCCUUGGCCUCCCAAGUAGCUGGGAUUACAGGCACCCGCCACUACGACUGGCUAAUUUUUGUAUUUUUAGUAGAGACAGUGUUUUACCAUGUUGGCAAGACUGGUCUCAAACUCCUGACCUUGUGAUCUGCCUACCUCAACCUCCCGACCUUGUGAUCUGCCUACCUCAACCUCCCAAAGUGCUGGUAUUACAGGCCUGAGCCACCGUGCCCAACCCUCUAAGAUCUUAACAUUUGCCGAAGAAACCUCACAACAUGUUCCAAAAGUAUGGGAAGUGGACAGAUUUCAGCACAACCAUUACCUGUUCCCAGUAGCUGACCAACUAGGAGAUUUCAGAGGUUAGUCAAGUGGGACAGAGCAGGGUAGGGAAUUUUAUUUUUAAGCUUUAUUAUAAAACAUGUAACUUUCUAUCUUAAGAAUUUGGAACUGGGGCUAUAGUUCACUCAUAAUGAUCAAAUAAUGAAAGGUCUACUUCAAAUGGACUACUUAACAUUGAACAUUUACCUUUUUGACUAGAAAUAACUGAUGAAAGUUCACUUAGUUUGGUGGGAAAUAAGAGAUAUAAAGAUAUCUUCUCCUCAGGAUGAGACUCCCAAAGGCAGAUGUUCUCUGAGUACCAGUGUUGCUGAAAUUUAGGACCUUUGCAGUUCCUUUGAGCAUCGUUCUGCUCUCCUAUUUCUGAUGACUCCAUCUAGACUCCUACUCAACUUCACUUCCUCUGUGUGCAUUCCAGUUGCAAGUCACGCCCACCUUCUUAGCACUCUGUAUAUCCUCUACCUGGACAGUUUUACUCUUCCCAUAUUCCAGCCACCAACCAUAUGCUGAGAUGGACUGAAUAUUUUUAUCUCCCCCAAAUUCAUAUGCUGAAGUCCUAAUCUCUAAUGUGAUGGUAUUUGGAGAUGGGGCUUUUAGGAUAUAAUUGGGUUUAGAUGAGGUCAUGAGAGUAGAGCCCCCAAGAUGGGAUUAGUGCCCUUGUAAGAAGAGGAUAAGACCAGAGCCUUCUCUCCUCUGACAUAAUUACCCACAUAAACCUUCACAUAUUGGCUGGGCGUGGUGACUCAUCCCUGUAAUCCCAGCACUUUGGGAGGCCGAGACAGGUGGAUCACUUGACAUCAGGAGUUUGAGACCAGCCUGGCUCCCACAGUGAAACCCUGUGUCUACUAAAAAUACAAAAAAAUUAGCCAGGUGUGGUGGUGUGUGCCUGAAAUCUCAGCUACUCAGGAGGCUGAGGCAGGAGAAUCACUUGAACCUGGGAGUUGGAGGCUGCAGUGAGCCCAGAUCCCACCACUGCACUCCAGCCUGGGAGACAGAGCAAGACUCCAUCUCAAAAACAACAACAACAUAAAAAACCUUCACUUAUUGAAGAGCUGAUUGAUCUUUUAAGGAAGACAUCUCCAACCCCUGGGCUGGAGACUAGAAUGGGUCCAUGGCCUGUCAGGAACUGGGCGCAAAGCAGGAAGUGAGCAAAGGGCGAGCGAGCAUUACCACCUCAGCUCCACUUCCUGUCACAUCAGCAGCAGCAUUAGAGUCUUAUAGGAGUGUGAACUUUAUUGUGAAUUGCAAAUGUGAGGGAUCUAGGUUGCACGCUCAUUAUGAGAAUCUAAUGCCUGAUGAUUUGAGGUGGAAUGGUUUCAUCUUGACAUCAUCCCUCCUAUCCCCUGGUCUGUGGAAAAACUGUCUUCCACGAAACCUAUCCCUGGUGCCAAACAGGUUGGGGACCACUCGUUUAAAGGACUGAUGACUCUUUUAAUGCAAUGAGUGACACAGAUGAAGUAUAUAAUCUGCAUUCUAGCAGAAAUGGUAGUCUAGAUUUUGAGAAUGAAGAAUUUGAUAUCUUUAAAAUUAUUUUCUUGUCACACAGUUAUGGUCAUUCAAAAGCCAAUUUCUAUUAGAUUUCUUUUUUAUUGCUUGUUAUACAUAUGUAUAAGUGAAUAUGCCUUUUUUAAAAGCAAUCAUAACAUUGGAAGUCCUUUUUCUAUCUCCUUUGCACUGGUUUUUCUUGAACCAUUUGUUAAUCUACAAAUUCUAUGGCUACAUAGAAAUCUAUUCACAUUCACAGGAUUUUGCAACUUGCUUUGUUCCACUUUUACUGCUAUAUUUGCUUUAUCUGUAUUGAUUCUAUAGGAAUUAGUUUAUUUUACAGUUUGGCUUGCUUCUUUGUUAUGUAGUGUUGAAAUGCCAUAUUCACAUUUGCUUUUAUGGUUCCCAUAUUAAGGUUCAGGGAUUUACCCAUGCAUUUGUAUAGUUGAGCAUUUUUGUUGCUUCUUUAUACAAGCUUUAACUGAGACUAAUACAUGUAUUUUUCUUUUCUUUUUGUAGAGACAGGGUCUUGCUUUGUUGCCCAGGCUAAUCUCAAACUCCUGGUCUCAACUGAUUCUCCCACCUCAGCUUCCAAAAGUGCUGGGAUUACAGGCAUGAGCCACCAUGGGAACACCACAUUUCUAUAAGUCUCCAACAGCAGGCAAAGCAGAAAACAGUUGCGGCACUUACCUAGUUUGACCACAAAAUUGAUAAAUCUCUGGAUACAAAACUAGAAAAGAACAAACAAAUCUAUAGUUAAUAUUACUGAACUGUGUAAAUAAUGUAAAGAAAUUAGAAGUCAAAUUACAGAAACCCUAAAAAGUCUGCACACCUUCAUUUACUGAAGAUCUGUCAGAGUGGAGAAAAAUAGCCAAGUGAAGAUGACUGGGAUCCAUCCAGGCUAAGGUCUUCAAGAGCAGAAACCAGCUUUACUGAAAUUAUGUACUGAGCACAGCCCCUGACAUAUCAAUGAAUGAGUAAAUAAGACUCACUCACACAUGCCUUUUUAAGAAGAAACACAGAAUGUGGUAAACUAAGUUCCUUACCAACAUUGUUUUGAAUGGGAUGAUUUAUUUAGAGUGGGACUAAGGUGGGGGAAAAGAUGGAGACUGGAUCAGCUAAUAAGAGAAGCCACUGAGUGGAAGGGUCAGCAUUACAGCCGCUUCAGUCUACUCCAUCUAUGAUUUCCCUGUUCUCUUCAGAACAGGCUAGAAUUUUCAGGCAUAACUUUUCUAGGAAACUAGGCAGGGUGGGGGAAACCAUCAAUGCAAGGAAAUGGCAGUCUGAAAUUCAUUCUUCAUACCCUUAUUUAAACCAAAAUCUUGUCAAUGUCUAGCUUAUGUUGCAUAGCUUCCUAGAUCCCUACCCAGUUCCUAUUCUUAGUUUCACCUGGUCUGAGGAUGGACAAAGGUGAAAGUUAAGGUAUUUAAACUUUAAGGAGGAAGUAGAUUUAUGAUGGCUCAACUUUGAGGCCUAAGGGUGGGGAAUAAUUGAUCACUUCUGGAUUCUGCUUCUUCAUGCUCUCUCUGGGUUGGGGCUGCAGGUCACUCCCUCUAGCCCCCAGGGUGCUUUGUACUUCUGCUCUGUCAUCUCUGAUUACACUGAUGGCAGCCUGUCCUGUUCAAAAAGAUCCCACAGCCAAGCUUCAUUAGAACCCUCUUGGGUUCUAUGUGAUUUCCUAGAAUUUCAUAAUAACUUAUCUUCUUUUAUAUAAGCUAGUUUAAAUGGGUUUCUGUUACUUGUAACCAAAUAAUUUCUGACAAAGACAGAAACUCACAAAGCGUUAGUCCAUCCUUGAGACACUGGUCACCAGGGUCUAUAACACUAAGGGUCAGUUCCUGCUAAGGUGUAGGAACUUAGGGCUUGUGCUCAAGUCAUGUGUUCAUGUGUCUCACCUCUAACUGCAACAGGUUCUUCUAAACAAUGACUGAAUUUCUUUUUUUUAGCUGGGUGUAGCGGCAUAUGCCUAUAGCCCCAGCUACUCAAGAGGCUGAGGCAGGAAGACUGCUUGAGCCCAGGAGGUCGAGGCUGCAGUGAGCUAUGAUCAUACCACUGCACUCCAGCCUGGACAACAGAGCAAGACCCUGUCUCUAAAUAAAAGAGAACCAGCUGUUGAGACUGUUCCACCCUUCACUGAGGUUCUUCUUUCCCUGAAUGGCUAGACUGUCCUCCAUGGAACAUUCACAGCAGCCACUAUGUCCUCUGGGAUCUUCCUUGUAACAUAUCAGCUUCUGCUUCCUGUCUCAAAUCCUGUAUCUACUUUUGGGUCACCCACUAGGCUCUUAUUUUCUUCCUGGUGGAUGUUUCUAGUUCUCAGCACAUUUCCAGGGUGAACAAGACUGACCUGCCCUGACUUUGAAUGAAGCCUUCCCCAUUUUAGGUUACCAUGUUCAUAACUUCCUCAUAUUCUGUGAUAACUCUGGUGUGAUGUCCUCAAUGGGACAGCAUGUGGUCAUUUUCCCAGAAAUCUAUGACCAUUAUAUUAUAGUCACAAAAGUACUUUGAAGAUAGAGUAAAAAUAAGAUCCUUUCUAGGAGGAAGAGAAGAGCCAUAUCCAUAUGGGGCCUGUCCUGAUUAGACAUGUAGGGAACACAGACAAUGGGGACAGCUUUGGUUUUAAACAGGGAAAAGAGAGAAACAGAAGAAAGGUAAAGAAAGAAGCGCUGGGCAAUUUUAAUGAGGGCAAGUAUGGUAGGAAUGCUGGUGAGAGAGAAGAAAAAGAAUCCUUAAUUGGAAAAGAAAAAAGGCCGUGGGAAGGGAAGAAAACGUUUACCUGAUAGUUCAGGGCUAAAGAGAAGUCCUUUCUUUCGAAAGCCUCCAACAUCUGGCUUGUCUUUUUUCCCAGGUAGUUAUAGGUACUGGAAAGACAACAGCAAAUACUGCAGCUUCAAUAACUCAACAGGAAAGGCCCAGAUCUUCAAAUCCCUCUGCUGUUUAAAAGGGAAAAAAUAUACCCAGUCCUCCUAAAGUCUGUUUUUGGGUCUUAAUCUGUUAGGGGAUCAGACUGCCUUCAGUUCUGAGUUUUCCAGCAAUACUAAGCAGUACUGCAGAGAAGGAAGAGUGACAAAAGGGGAUAAAGGAAGAAAAGUGGAAAAAAGAUAAAACAGAAAAAAAAAAGCUGGAGGUGUAUUUGCUGGGAAGUGACUGAGGCCAGCUCCUGCCCUCGGGUACACACAGGUGCAAUGCCAGACAAGAAAUGUGGAAAAAAUGUAGCAUCUGAGGUGAGUCCUAAAAGGCUUAUACUGAAAAACUGGGUGGAUGGAGCACCAUGGUAAAAGGGGCAAAUCCCAACAAAUUACCUUCAUUCCUUGCCAAUGUAUAUAUUACUUAAAGACUAGUUUCUAGACAGUAAUAUUAAUAAUCAUAAUAAAAUGAGGGCCCAUUUACUAAGUGCCUAUUAUAUUACAGGUGCUUGACAUAGAUCAUGUCUAAUCCUUGUAAAACCAUGGAAGGGUAGGCCUGGUUUUUAUUUUGAUCAAAGAAGGGCUGCAGAGUUGCCACAAAAGCUUUUCCAUUGUGUCAUGCUAUCUUCAAUAAUAAUGCAAUAAAAAUGAAGGUAAGAAUACUUAUUUGACCUGACAAUACAUUUUUGUGGACUUAAACUCUCUAACUCUACCUAUAAAGACAAAUAUCUUAAAUGAAUCACUGAAUUAUCUGAGGCCCAGUUGUAUAUCCUCCCCUUGGAUUCUGUGUGAUUUCUCAGUAUUUUAUAAUAACUUAUCUUCUUUUACAUAAGCUAGUUUAAAUGGGCUUCUGUUAUUUGUAACCAAAUAAUUUCUGAAAUCAGCAAAGUAGAAGGUUAUAGAAACUCAUAAUAAGGACAUUUCCCCAAGUUCUUUAAAUUCAAAUCGCUUCUCACAUGGUAAGUCGGUAUCAGAAAAUGCAUUUAUCUUGAUGUACCAAGAACAGAAAUGUUGUUGGACUUUUAUAUAUAAGCCCUGGGUCAACAGCAAAGGAUUCCAGGAAUGUGAAGCUCAUGUUAUCUUCUGGCAAUAGACUAAGGAAGAACAAUGUCUGAGGAGUUUCAGACACUAAAAUUUGAAUCCCAGUGGUCUUAGGUGUAUCCUUGGUUAGAAAGAAAGGUGAUUAUAACUAGGGAGAAAUGAAGUCUAACCAAAUGUACUUUGCUUAUAGAUUAUGUUGACAGAAUUAAAAUGCCUAGGAUGGAGGCCAAAAAGGAGGAGUCAAAAAAGUAAGAAUUUCCAGGGGGAAAAAGGUUUAAUGGUGAUAUGAUUUGGAUCUGUGUCCCUGCCCAAGUCUCAUGUUGAAAUAUAAUCCUCAAUGCUGGAGGUGGGGCCUGGUGGGAGUUGGCUGGAUCAUGGGGGCAGUUCACAUGGUUUAACUCAUCUCCCUUUGUGCUGUUGUUGUGAUAGUUCUCAUGGAAUAUGGUUAUUUAAAAGUGUGUGGCACCUGACCUCCUCUUCCUCCUGCUCUGGCCAUGUAAGAUGUACUUGCUUAGCCUUGCUCCAUGAUUGAAAGUUUCGUUCAGAAGCCAAGCACAUGCUGCCAAGCUUCCUGCACUGCUGAAUCAUAAGCCAAUUAAACUUCUUUUCUUAUAAAUUGCUCAGGUGUUUCUUUUUUUUCCUUCUUUUCUUUUUCUUUUGAGACAAAGUCUUGUUCUGUCAUCCAGGCUGGAGUGCAGUGGGGCAAUCUUGGCUCACUGCAACCUCCACCUCCCAGGUUCAAGUGUUUCUCCUGCUUCAGCCUCCGGAGUAGCUGGGACUACAGGCGUGCACCACCACGCCCAGCUAAUUUUUGUAAUUUUAGUAGAGACAAGGUUUCCCAUGUUGGCCAGGCUGGUCUUGAAUGCCUGGCCUUGUGAUGUGCCUGCCUCGACCUCCCAAAGUGCUAGGAUUACAAGCGUGAGCCACCGUGCCCAGCCACUUUACAGCAAUGUGAGAAUGAACUACUACAGAUGUUCAGCAAAUACAGCAUUCAGAUUUCCUUAGUAGAAAUACCCCUGUAGUUAUGAUGGCUGUCAUGGGCAAUCUUGGCUUGGUGAACAAGCCAUUUACAUUAUUCAACUCAGUCACUCUUUCUCAAAGCCAGGCUCACCAAAAUAUGCUAUAAAUGUUAUUUUGCUCCCUUGGUACCUUUCAGUGAAUGCAAACAUUUCAUUCAAUCUGCUUACAAGCAUAUUCUAAUGAAUUAGGUUAACAUGUGCAGUGGACAUGCUAAUUGAAUUGCCUGUCUUUUGCUAAGUAGGCAUUGGGGCACAUGAUUCCGGUUAGACCUGACAUGGACACUUGCCUAGGUAUUGCUACCUAAUGAUGUCCUGAGAUGCCACACUUGGGCAGCCAUGACUGGGCAUGUGCAUACUGAAGCAGAGAAAGCCCAUCUGGAUACAGACAGACAGAAGAGAAAUGAAGGCAUGUGCAGAAAGAUGCAGAGGAAUAUAGCCAUUCCUGCAAUGACUUCAUUCAGAGCCAGUGGGAAGGUGGUAUGUUUAUACAGUAUCGUGGAGGUUUCAUGUUGCCAACAGCAGAAGUAUAUGCUGAAAACCAUUAAACAUGUACAGACAUGGGAUUUGUCUCUCAUUAAGUUAGAGGAAGAGAAUCACAGAGAUAAUUUAGCCCAUUAUCUUAAAGGUAAGUAAAUUGGAAUCUGUAGAAAUUAGUUUUAUAUCCAUGCUUACAUUAAAAAAACACUUCUAAGUUGUGAUAAAAGACAGGAAACUAAAAAUCAAUUCUAGGUUGGGUACGUCGUGGCUCACACCUAUAAUCCCAGCACUUUGAGGGGCCAACUUGAGCAGAUUAUGUGAGCUCAGGAGUUCAAGACCAGCCUGACCAACAUGGAGAAACCCCAUAUCUACUAAAAAUACAAAAAAAAAGUAGCCAGGCAUGGUGGCACAUGCUUAUAAUCCCAGCUAUUCAGGAGGAUGAGGCAGGAGAAUUGCUUGAACCUGGGAGGCGGAGGUUGCAGUUUGCUGAGAUCAUGCUGCUGCACUCCAGCCAGGGCAACAAGAGUGAAACUCCAUCUCAAAAAAUAAAUAAAUAAAUGGAAACAAACAAAUUCUAAUGGAAAUAAAGGAUCUAGUUUAAUCAUGUUAGAGUCAAUAAUUUAUGUGUCAGGUGUCAGGUAUUACACAUGAUUUUUGUAAAUAAAUGAUAUUGCAUAUAUUUAUUUAACAGUGUUUUGCAUAUAUCUGGCACUGGCUAAUACUUGUUGACUUAGAUCAAAUGUAAAUUGAAAAAAAAAUCAAGAUGCCAAUGGUGAAUCAAGCACUAGGGAAGAAAUCUAAUUGGGAGGUGGUACGUACAACAUAACUGUUAAGAACUUCUAUCCUGGGUGCGGUGGCUCACAGUAAAUGCUUAAUAAAUAUUACCAGUUAUUAUUGUUAAGCCUUAAGAAUAGAGCCUUAAAGAAAAAAAAUGGGACAAUAAAAAAGAAAAAAAAAGAAUAGAGCCUUUUAAUGCUGUAAAAAAUAUAGAAAACAAUAAAGAUAAAGAAUCAUUAGGGAUUUAAAAAAUGUCUAGGGAAUGGAAUUUAAGGCUCAGCUAAGCAGAAUUUGAAAAACAAUAAUUGAUUAAUCAAUACAUGAGUACUUAAUUUUGUUAAGCAUUGUUUUAGAUGCUGUAUUUGGUGGUGUCACGUGCAUGAAGAUAGGUAUGAUACUGAGAUAUUUUUGGUUGGAGAUAAAAAUAGCUUCCUCAAAGAAUCCAACCAGGAACUAAUCCCGUGGGCAGUGAAUUCACUUUAAAAAGCAAUUUCCUGGGAACGAUUCAAGAUGGCCAAUUGCUAACAUCUCGGGAUUGCAGCUCUCAGUGAAAGCACAGAGAACGAGAGGAUGCCACACUUUCAGACAAAUUUUGGUCGCUCACAGAGCAGAAGAUUCCAAGUGAAGAAGCCGCACAGGUCGCCAGCGUGACUCUUGUGGCCGGUGCAGCGGUUUUGCUGGCACCUCGGCGCGGCAGCUCUUGGUGCAGAGUAAACGGGACUGGUUCCCCUUCUGACCGAGGUCUGGAGCUCUGGGAAGGCAGAGUCACCUAUUACGGACUCAAGAAGGAAGCCAGACUGGAGAUUCCCGGGCAGAAAAGCACCAUCAGUCUUAACGCCGCUGUUUUGGCUGGCGCAGUGGGUUGCUCAUAUUUCGGCCCUGGGAAUUAACAACUUGGACGUCCACCCAGAGACCUAAUCUGAAAGUUGGUAAUUACAAAGAUGACAGGUGGAUAAAUUUACAAUGAUGGGAAGAAACCAGCGUAAAAAGGCUGAGAAUACUCAAAAUCAGAAUGCCUCUCCCUCUAAAGAGGAUCACAGUUCCUCAUCAACAAGGGAACAAGGCUUGAUGGAGGACGAGUGCAUCCCAUUAACAGAAUCAGGCUUCAGAACAUGGAUAAUAAGAAACUUCUGUGAGUUAAAAGAACAUGUUGUAGCCCAAUGUAAAGAAACUAAGAAAUUUGAAAAAAGGUUUGACGAAAUCCUAAUGAGAAUAGACAGCUUAGAGAGGAAUAUAAGUGAAUUAAUGGAACUGAAGAAUACAAUACAGGAACUCCGAGAAGUAUGCACAGGUUUAAACACUCGAAUUGUUCAAGCAGAAGAAAGGAUAUCAGAGGUCGAAGUCCAACUUAAUGAAAUAAAACGAGAAGACGAGAUUAGAGAAAAAAAGGAUAAAAAGGAAUGAGCAAAGUCUCCAAGCAAUGUGGGACUAUGUGAAAAGACCAAAUUUACGUUUGAUAGGUGUACCUGAAUGCGAUGGAGAGAAUGAAUCCAAGCUGGAAAAUAUUCUUCAGGAUAUUAUUCAGGAAAAUUUUCCUAAACUAGCAAAACAGGACAAUAUUCAACCCCAGGUAAUACAGAGAACACCACAAAGAUAUUCCUCAAGAAGAGCAACCCCAGGGCACAUAAUCAUUAGAUUCACCAGGGUUGAAAUGAAGGAAAAAAUACUAAGGGCAGCCAGAGAGAAAGGUCAGGUUAAUUACAAAGGGAAGCCUAUCAGACUUACAGCAGAUCUCUCAGCAGAAACUCUACAAGCCAGAAGAAAGUGGGGGCCAAUAUUCAACAUCCUUAAAGAACAGAACUUUCAGCUCAGAAUUUCAUAUCCAGCCAAACUAAGCUUCACAAUUGAAGGAAAAAUAAAAUCUUUUAUGAACAAGCAAGUACUCAGAUUUUAUUACCACCAGGCCUGCUUUAUAAGAGCUUCUGAAAGAAGCAUUACACAUAGAAAGAAACAACCAGUAUUAGCCUUUCUAAAAAUAUACCAAAAAGUAAAGAGCAUCAACAUAAAGAAGAAUUUACAUCAACGAAUGGAUAAAACAGCUAGUUAACAUCAAAUGGCAGUAAUCCUAAAUUUAAAUAGACUAAAUCCCCCAAUCAAAAGAUACAGCCAAAACCCAACGGUAUGCUACAUCCUGACCCAUUUCACAUGCAAGGAUACACAAAGACUCAAAACAAAGGGAUGGAGAAAGAUUUACCAACCAAAUGGAGAGCAAAAAUAAAUAAAUAAAUAAAAAGCAGGAGUUGCAAUUCUCGUAUCCGAUAAAAUAGAUUUUAAAGCAACAAAGAUAUAGUGGUAAAAGGAUCAAUGCAACAAGAGCAAACAAUCCUAACACCCAGAUACAUAGAGACUUAGACUCAAUGAAACAGAAAAUUAAUAAGGAUAUCAAGGACUCAAACUUAGAUCCGGAACAAGUAAACUUAAUAUUUAUAGAGCUCUCCACUUUAAAUACACAAAAGAUACAUUCUUGUCAAUACCACAUCACACCUACUCAUAGGUUUAAAUGAAAUAUUGAUUGGCCAUUAUUAAUACCUAUUUUUUUUUAGAAUAAAGCAACAUUUCCGUUCUCUCUCCCUCUUUUUCUUCCUCUUCCUUCGUCUCCUUCACUCCUUUUUCUUUCCUUCUCUCAAAAAAAGAAGGAAAGAAAUCAACUUGUAGACCUCUAGAUCCAGGUCGGCAAUGCCUCUCUCACUGCCUCAUUUCCUUCCUUCCCUUCUCUCCCUCCCUCCUUCCCUCCCUCCCUCCCUUCUUUCCUCCCUUCCUCCCUUCUUUCCUCCCUUCCUCCUUUCCUCCCUUCCUGCCUUCCUCCCUUCCUACAAAAAAAAAAAGCAAUUUCCUAUCUUGCAAAUCUCCUCAUAAUUUGGCCAAAAGAGGAUAGUUGCUCUCAUACCCCAAUGGUCAUUUUUGGGGGUACUCCAUGUUCCAUCUGGGGAGAGGCUACAGUGGGAGACUGGUCUUCUAAAAGUGGGAUUAAUAAUGUUCAGCCAUGAAUGCAGUCAUCCCAGUGAGUCUUCUGAAGGACCCUGAAUAACACAUACCCUCAUGAGACAGAUACCACAUUUCUGUUUAGGCCCAGUCACGGAGUCCUCCAGGGGUUCCUGCUAGCUCUGUCUUAGGUAAAACAGGACCUAGCUGGGAAGUGACAUGAUCAGGUUUGUAUUUGUAUUUUUCUAUUUUUUUCUUUUUUUUUAAACUUCAUUUUAAGUUUAAUAUACCUUGAAGGUUUGUAUUUUUAAAGAACAGAAGACUUCUGAAUGGAAAAAGGAGAACUGACUGACCUGCUGGACUCUCACCAGCAGUUUUAUUGCAUGACCCCUUUCUUCACUACCCCUUUCUUUUGGCUUAGGUGAAGCCAAUCAUCCAUUUGCUUUUCCUCUUUCUCCUGGGCUGCUAGAUACAGCUACCAUUGUUGGAAAUUUAAAAUACAAAUUUCCUAGUGAUCUCCCAAUCCAGGAGAGGGCUCCAAUGAGCGUUCUGGCUGUUACGCCUCAUUUCUCUGGAGUGCUACUCCAAAUCUUGACUAUUCCUGUCAAGCUCUAAAUUCUUACCAAUUACUUGUUCUGGGCAGAUGUCCGAGUCCCAGAGACCAAAGAUGAAGCAGCUUUCAAACGCAGACUCCCUUACCCUUCUUCCUUUCCACCUGUGUGUGGGGUGACGUCACCAUUUGCUUUCCUCCUAGCUUCUCAGCUGUUUUUUUUUUUUUUUUUUUUUUGAGGAGUUUUGUUCUGUUGCCCAGGCUGGAGUGCAGUGGAGUGAUCUUGGCUCACUGCAACCUCCGUCUCCUGGGUUCAAGCAGUUCUCCUGCCUCAGCCUCCUGAUUAGCUGGGAUUACAGGUGCUUGCCACCAUGCCCAGCUAAUUUUUGUAUUUUUAGUAGAGACAGGGUUUCACCAUGCUGGCCAGGCUAGUUUCGAACUCCUGACCCCGUGAUCUGCCCGCCUCAGCCUCCCAAAGUGCUGGGAUUAUAGGUGUGAGCCACUGUGCCCAGCCGGUGUUAUAUCUUUAAAACCCAAUGUAGAUUGUGAGUUGAAUCAAUUUCUGAUCAAUUCAUCAGGAUGUAAUCCUAUCAUCAGUGGAGAAGCAUCUGUAUUUCAAACUCCUAGCCAACCCCCCCAUCCAAGACCUUUCAUCAGAGUUAUCAAUUCACCACUUUUUUUUUUAAGACAGGGUCUUGCUCUGUCCCCCAGGCUGGAGUGUAGUGGUGUGAUUUUGGCUCACUGCAACCUCUAUCCCCCUAGCCUCAAGUGAUCCUCCUGUCUCAGCUUCCCAAGUGGCUGGGACCACAGAGGCAUACCACUAUGCCUGGCUAUUUUUUUUUUUUUUUUUUUUUUUGUAGAAAUGGGGCCUUCGUAUGUUGCCCAGGCUGGUCCUGAUCUCCUGGGCUCAAGCAAUCUGCCUGCCUAGGCCUCCCAAAGUGCUGGGAUGACAGGUGUUAACCACUGUGCCCAGCCAAGGUUUACUAGUCUUUUCUGUAUUUUUAAUCUCGUCUCCCCUGGCAGUUUUUCAGCAUAGAAACAUGCUCAAAUUUUUUCCACUUAACGAAACUGUCCUCCUUUCAAUCUUGCCUAUUCCUUCCUAAUCUACGACUCCGUCUCUCCUCUCCUUCCCUUUGCCAGAAAUCUGUGAGGAUCGGCUGCACUCACUGCCCCCACAUGCAGAUGUCUGCUGCAUUCUACAGCUCACUGCAGUCUGGCUUCUCUACAAUAACCUGACUGGCCCCACUCUCAGAGGUCAUCAGUGACUUCCUGUGAUGUGUCAAACCUAGCGGUUUUCUCAGUCUUUCAUAUGCUGACUUUCAUGGCAUCUAAUAGUUAUUAUAACAAAUGUUAUAAUAAACACAGCACCUACUGCAUCUACUGCAAAUAGUUACAAUGAAUUCUUACAUUAGUGUGAAUGUGUUAUGUGAAUGAUGCUUGCCAGGCACUGUUCUAAUACUCUCUACAACCUCCUAAGUGAGGUACUAUUAUUUCUACUUUAGGAGUGAAGCACACAGAAGUUGGGUGAUGUGCCUGAGUCCCCAGAGCUAAUAAAAAGCAGAGCGGGGCCUCAGACAGACAGUUGGGCUCUAUGGUGCCUGCUACACUGGCGCUCUCUGAAAUCAUUGUCCCUGGCUGCCGUGACCGGACCCACUCCCAACCGCCCUCCUACCCCCGAGGGCUUUCUGUCUCUGCCUACUUCCCUGUCCCUCAUUUCUGGUACUGUUCUUAAUGUGUACCCUUAGCCUUUUCUGUUUUCACACUCUGCCCAUGGUCCUUAAUCUUUUUUGGACCCUAGCUCUCACAAAAUUAACUGAAAGCUGAUGGUUCACCAGAAAAUGCUUCCAUGAAUAUGCACUCAAACUUGGCACAUAAUUUCAGAGUAAUGGAGGUACCCUGAAGCCAUGAAGGCUUCCCAAGGACAUCAUGGGCUGCACACUGACAACCUCUGCUCACUUACCUCCACCUAAGGCAAUAUUGAUUAUUCCCUUCUUGUUUUUGCAUUCAUCAGAAGGUCUGGGGUGUUACUUUUCAUGAUCUAACAUCCCUACUGAAUGGUCAGCAACCUGAAGGCAGAGCCCCUGCUUUAUAUUGCUGGUGCCUAGCACAGUACAUGACAUACAACAAUGUAACAGACAAUCAAUAAAACUUAGUUAACUGGCAGUGCUUAUGAACUGAUACUAUCCUGUUUGUUCAACCACAGUAUGAAUUGGGUGUUAAAAAAAUAUAUCACUGCAUGGAAGUUUAGCAGCUACAGAAAGUCCUCAAACAGCACAAGAAGCAGCACCAUAAAAGAGCAUGUUGAGCUGGAUGCACAGAGACCUAUAAAGAGAAAUGGGCCAAUACAAGCAUCAGGUGCUCAUCCCAAGAAGGGAAGGGGUGUGAGUUGCUCAGUGGAAAGGCCAGGUGACAGCAGAGUCCGUCACCACCCUCCUCUCUUAUCCUUUAGCCCAAGGGUGGGUAACUGUGAGGGGAUUGGCCUUGUAGACAGAUAAGAGGCAGUUUCCCAACAGAGCCUCUGGGAGGCAGGUAUGCCUAGGAGUUUGGCUGCCCUUCUGCACAGAAAAGGAGGGGGCUCUUCUCCAAGGAGCUAGGAUUCCUGGGGCCCUGCUCAUAUUCCCACCAGCUGACUGGAGCCCAGGCUCUGACCAGAAAGCAGGGAGGCUGUAUCCUAUGGGGAAGAGGCUCAUUGAAUACAGCUGUUGCCAAAAAGCAUUUUUAUCCUGGGCAGCCACUCACUUGUCCUUCCCUUUUGUCACCCACUCCUCUGCGACCCGGCGACGCUCUGAGACGCUCAGGGACAGGCCUUCUCCCGUUGUGCCAUUCACUGUUCCAAAUAAAGAGUACCUCCAGCUCUGGAGGGGCUCUGUUGGUAGAGCAGUAGCUCAGAGGCAAGGUGUAGUGUCCUCAAAAUAAAAAUGCAUCUAAGGGUCUGAGAGCCCAGAACACCACACAAGGGACAGCUCAACCACAGGUAAGUAUGUUAAAAUGCUCAAGAUCCAAAUUUUUUAAGCUUUCACUUUCUAGGAAAUAAAUGGGGAUAAGUACUAAUCCUGUGAUUUCUUUGUGUGCUACAUUUAGAGUCUUCCUUUCAUUCACAAUUUGAAAAGCCAGGUAAAGACAAAAUAAAGCCCAUUCUUAAGAGAAAGAAGAGGCCGGGCGGGGUUGCUCACUCCUAUAAUCCCAUCACUUUGGGAGGGUGAGGUGGGUGGGUUACCUGAGAUCAGGAGUUUGAAACCAGCCUGGUUUUCUUCUUUAGAAAGAAUGAAAAAAAAAAAAAAAAAGAAAGAAAGAAAGAAAUGAAACCAGCCUGGUCAACAUGGCGAAAUCCCGUCUCUACUAAAAAUACAAAAAUUUGCUGGGUGUGGUGGUGUGCGCCUAUAGUCUAGCUACUGGGAAGCUGAGACAGGAGAACUGCUUGAACCCGAGAGGUGGAAGUUGCAGUAAGCCAAGAUCGUGCCACUGCAUUCCAACCUGGGGAUGACAGAGCAAGACUCCAUCUCAAAAAAGAGGCCAAGGCAGGCAGAUCAUGAGGUCAGAAGUUUGAGACCAGCCUGACCAACAUGGUGAAACCCCCUCUACUAAAAAUACAAAAAUUAGCUGGGCAUGGUGGUGGGCACCUGUAAUCCCAGCUACUCGGGAGGUUGAGGCAGGAGAAUCACUUGAACUUGGGAGGUGGAGGUUGCAGUGAGUCGAGAUUGCACCACUGCAAUCUCUCCAGCCUGGGCAACAAGAGCAAACUCCAUCUCAAAAAAAAAAAAACAAUUCCAUCUCAAAAAAAAAAAGGAGAGAAGGUGGUUUAGUUGUUACUUAAGAGGGUUUAGUUGUUAUUCUACCACUUCUUGGCUGAAUGGCCUGGAGCAACCUAGAGUAUAUCUGAGUCAUAUAUUUUCAUCUCUAAAUGGGGAUAAAAAUAAUACCUUAAGUGUUGUCAUACCAUCAAAUGAGGUAAUCUCUUGAGGUGCUUUGCAGGUCUAACACUGGUGGGUCUACAAAUUCACAAAUUUUAGUUAGCUUAGCCAGGCUCCAUCAUAACUUGUGACAGCAUGACUCUGUGACCUCUUGGCUGGUAACCAGGCGAGAUAUACCUUCUAAAGACUGAGCUGGAGACAUGUAGAGACAUCACCAAGGUUGACUUACCAAAGAUGUUCUUCACUCCCUGCUCUUUCACAAGAUAAUCCACAUACUGACCAAUUACUGAAAAGUUGAUUUCUCUAGAAGACAUGGGAAAAAUGGGAAAAAAUUGCAUAUUUAGUCUUUCUCAGAUUAUUAUUCAACAAAUCUCAUAUAAACUGCUCCCUCUUGCUAAUAUUAUUAAAAAUCCACUCAAUUUGUGAAAUUCUUAGCCUUCUCUAAAUAAUGCCUGGGCUUUUUACCCCCUGAAUCUGGUGAUUUCUCCACUCAGCCAUGUAUGCCUCACUUCUAUGAGCAAAACACUAUUAGUUAUCAACAGAAUCUUUAUAUUUACACCUCAUCACAAGAAGUGUGUAAAAAGUAGUUAUCUAAUUAUCUUUCUUUUUAGAGCCCAUAUGGCCAUGUAUCUUUUGCCUUUUUUGGGGAAGAGUGAUGGUCAGGGACAUGGUUAAAUGAGAACUUAAUAUUUGCCAUUUGAUCCCAAGCGCUGGGAUUACAAGUAUGAGCCAUCAUGUCUGGCCUGUCCCUUCUUGUGUUUUCCCACCCUACUCUCAGGGUACCUAGGUCUAUUUUCAUUGCUGGAGGCCAUUAUCCAUGAUCAAUUAUUAGGAAGACAUUCAAGAGGAUAUAAACAUUCAUUUCUUAGACUUACAAAACAGGAAGAUUCAAUCUUAGUGAGAAGUUUAACACUUAAUAUUUGUGACAGCACAUGAAAUCUUAAACCCAUCUGUAUUUGCUGGUUUUAUAUUGAAGAAGGUUAGCAGUUAGAAAGGAACUUCGUCAUCACUUUGCCUCUCAAAGGCGGAACAGCACCAUCAGCAUCUGGGGGGCUUUGUUACACAUGAAAUAUUCCAAGCCCCACACAGUCCUGUUCAGUUCGAAUCUGAAUUUUAACAAGAUCCCCAUGUGACCUGCAUGUCCUUGGCAAUUUGAGGCACAUAACUUUGUAAGGAUCUGAUGCUUAAGGUUAAGGGCUCUUUUCUUAAAAUCAUAUUGAUUUCAAAAUCUAGAAACUGACUCACAAGCAAAUUGUAUUAGGCAACCUGUCCUCAAUCAAAAUGCAGGAGGGGACUGAUGGGCAAUGAAGAGUGAAAUCCAAAGAAAAAUAGUGCAGCAAGCCUGGGUUAAAUGGUUACACCGUACCCAUGGUUACACCGCCAAGAACACAGAGUGCUAGCUGGCUGUCACUACACUUUUGUCUGUGGGGCCAGAGAAUCCUACUUUAAGUUUGGCCUUAUUAACAUUCUUUUCACCUUUACGUACUGUAUUCCUUAAACAACAAAAAUAAAACCAAAAAACUCUGAUGUAUCUAGGAAACAAAGACAUCAAAUGAUAUUCGUCAAAAGGAGUAAGAACAAAAAGACAUAUGAUAGAAAACAACUGACUCCGAGACUAAAAGGAAAGCUACUAAAUGCAAAGAAUGCACAGGCAAUCAUGCCUAUAGCAAGUUCAGAGAAAAGACAGCAGGCCUGAGCCCGCCAGUUGGGAAAAGGUGUGUUAAUGCAAUUAUAAAGCUUGUAAGGGGAGCGAACUCCCUAAUUAUGGCACCUGCCCCCAUAUCCUAACACUGCUCCCUCCUGGCCUCAGUCUGCACCUGGAACAGCCCAGGUGUUCAGCAAAGGCUGGGCAAAGGAGUGGUGGUGCGGGAAGUGACAAUGAUGAAAUCACCAUGAGCUCUGCCUUUACAAGCCACUUAGACCACACAUGAUAUUUUGAAAUUUCUCUAUUAAUUGAGUAAAGAAGAUAGUAUACAUGAUUAAAAUAACGAAACAUAAUGAAGGUUAUGACUGAGUCAAAAAUUAAGUGUGUGGGGGCUCAGAAGAGACUGAUAAAUGUCAGUUAGGGAGGCUGGAAAGAAGACAUCCAAGGGCUGGAUCUGGAUAAAUAGGACAAAACCCUAUGAUCUUCCAACAUUUUUUUUUUAAGACAAAGUCUCACUCUGUCUCCCAGGCUGAAGUGCAGUGGUGUAAUCAUGGCUCACUGCAGCCCUGACCUCCUGGGCUCAAGUGAUUCUCUCGCCUCAGCCUCCAAAGUAGCUGGAACCACAGGUGCAGCUAACUUUAAAUUUUUCAGUAGAGAUGAAGUCUCACUAUGUUGCCAAGACUGGUCUCAAACUCCUGGGGUCAAGCGAUCCUCCUGCCUCAGCCUCCCAAAGUGUUGGGAUUACAAGUGUGAGCCACCAUAUCCGACCCCUCCAACAUUCUUGAGUGAUACUGUUGGGCCCUAUUCUAGUUUCAUCCUCUUUUUAGGGAGUUGGCUGCACCCUUAGGCAGAUCUAGGUCAGUAUGUGAAACUGGAAGCUCCUUCUCUUUCCUCCAUGAACUUUACAGUUUGUUGGCCUCAGUGGAUAGUGCUUCCACCUACAGUCACCUCUCUCCCUCAGGCCUUGCUGGGAGACAGGCUAUUCAGCUGACAAUUGCACUCAGGGUUAGAGGUCUAAUGGGUUAUGCCUUCAAGAAAGGAGAUAGCAGUUUGCUGCUGCUUAUAAAAUGCCCUAACCUACAGGAAUGAUACUAAUGGAAGAAUUUUGGGGCAAAAUUUUGGGGGCAGUGGCCAUCACUCAGAAAAUGUUCUUGAAUUCAAGUCCUUUUGUAACUACCAGGUCUCUUUAGAGAGAUCUAGGUUGAAAAGGGACUAACUUUAAAUAUGUUUCACUGACAAUAUAUUUUUUCCUUAAAGAUUAUUUGAAAAGCCAGAAAAAUCUAACAAUGUCAGGGCUGCUGGGUGUGGUGGCUCACGCCUGUAAUCCCAGCUCUUUGGGAAGCUGAGGUGCGUGAAUCACUUGAGAUCAAGAAUUCAAGACUAGCCUGGCCAACAUGGUGAAAUCCUAUCUCUAUUGAAAAUGCAAAAAUGAGCUGGGCAUAUUGGUGGACACCUGUAGCCCCAUCCUGUAAUAGGGAGGCUGAGGCAGGAGGAUUGCUUGAAACCAGGAGGUAGAAGUUGCAUGAGCCAAGAUGGUACCACAGCUAGAAACUGGAAAGCGUAGCAGCAAUCUGCCUGCCUAGGCCUCCCAAAGUGCUGGAAUUACAGGUGUGAGCCAUCAUGCUUGGCCUGUCCCUUCACUUGUUUUCCCACCCUACUCUCUGGGUACCUAGGUCUAUUUUCAUCAUCAGAGGCCAUUAUCCAUGAUCAAUUACCAGAAGUCACUAGAGAGACUGGAAACAAUGAGACUGGAUGAUUAUUCUGCCCACCCACUGGGCAUUCAGAGCUCAGUGCUCACAGAAGUGAGUUGAAACAAGUCAAUCCACUUGAGUAGGUUGCAUUGUACCUUCUCUUUCAUGAGCCCCAAGAACACAUCUAACAACCUGGCACAUCAGGGGAGAGUGAUCCAGAACCAAAUUCCAUGCUUGCUGUAGUCACUUUUAUAUUUAAAGCCAGUUUAAUGUCUUAAAUUCAAUUACUGGGGAUUCAGACUCUUUGCCUUGGGUUUAGAUUCAUGCCUUGGAGCCAUGAAUUUUUGUUGUUGUUUUGAGACAGGGUCUUGCUAUGUUGUCUAGGCUGGUCUCAAACUCCUGAAUUCAAGUAAUCCUCCACUUCAGCCUCCCAAGUAGCUGGGACUACAGAAGUGUGCCACUAUGCCCCAUUAAUUUUAUUUAACUUUUUUUUAAAUUACAAAAGCUAUAUAGUUUGGUUUAGAAAGUACAUACAAUAAAAAAAGAAAACCCACUCAGGAUAUCUCUGGAGAUGAUUCCUCUUAGUUUGAUAUUUUUCUAUUCACAAAUAUACAUAUUAUUUUCUUAUAUAAAUAUGGCCAUAUUAGACACAGUUUUAUAAUAUUUUUCACUCAGCAUUCUAACAUCUUCCCACAUUUUUAGAUGGUCCAUUACUGUACUGGCUAAACAACAUUCUAUUUUAUGGAUGAAUGUAAUUACGUUUUCUAAUUGUCUGUUCUUAGACAUUUAGUUUGCCCAAACUAUGCAAGCAGAAGAAAGUCUUCUGUUCAUUUUGCCACAAAUUGAGGUCUAGAGUGGGCAGACUGUGAAACUGCAGGGAGACUCUACAACUCAUCUCUUAGAGUAAAAGGGUGACAGAAUUUUUCUGAAGUGGCUUUUCAGGGAGAAAUCCCUGUUAUUGUUUGUUUCCUUUCCUGGUGCACAAAACACCAUGAAAGACUUCUGCUUUAGCUGAGAAGGUAGAAUCCGCAAGGCAGGCAGUUUUCACAUCUCACAUGAUGUGGCAUGCGUAUUAGGAAAUCUGAUUUUCCAUUUUCUUUUGCCUUUUAUACAUAUCUCUCAGCAUUCAAUCAGAUAGGAGUUAUAAGUACUCUCGGCAAAACAGCCACCUGGUUACUUCAAAAUUCUUUCAGCAGGGAGGCAGGCAGGGACUAACCUGCCCACCCCGUUGGAGCUGGAAAAUGUUCUGUUCUGGGAGUCUGGGUCCCCUCAUCUCCUAAACACUGUUAAAAGGACAAUCAUCUCUGCCAGUCUGACUCCAGCAGGCCAGGCCUUUUCUCACUGGGGUUACAGGAUUUGUUUUUACCAGAGGGUGUUGUAAAGAUUCCCAGGGUGAUGACAAGAACAUUUGAGGGAAAAAAACACAACUUUGUUCUUGAAACUUUAGAUCUGAAAUGGACUUUCUGUUCUAAUGACUGUGUGCCUGCCCAAAGAAAAGGUGAGUUCUUAGAACAACUAAAGAGAGCAAGUCUUGGCCGGGUGCGCUGGCUCACACCUGUAAUCCCAGCACAUUGAGAGGCCGAGACGGGCAGAUCACUUGCUGUCAGGAGUCUGAAACCAGCCUGGCCAACAUGGUGAAACCCUGUCUCUACUAAAAACACAAAAAUUAGCCGGGCGUGGUGUUGCAUGCCUGUAAUCCCAGCUACUCAGGAGGCUGAGGUAGGAGAAUUGCUUGAGCUUGGAAGGGAGAGGUUGCAGUGAGCCAAAAUCACACCGCUGCACUCCAGCUUGGGCGACAGAGCGAGACUUCGUCUCAAAAAAAAAAACAACAAGUAUUUCAUUAGACUUGCUAGCGUAUAAAAAGGCAAGGGCUGGAUAGGUAGAGAAAGCCUCCCUUUCUAGCUGUGUGGCUUGGGGCACCUGGGCUAGCCUUUAGGAUCUGUUUCUUCAACUGCCAGGACAAAGAUAACUACGGCUCCCUCACAGAGCUGUUGUCAAGAUUAAGUGGGAACAUGUAAAUGAAAAUGCCCACAUGAUGACUGACAUGGCAUCAAUCAGUGUUCGCUUCCUUAUCUCCUUUUUCUUGACUAUGAGCACUAGUCAUUCCUGUAGUGUAUUCACUCAUAAAAUAACAAAAGCUACCACAACUAUGCCACAUGCUUAAGAUACAAAGAUAAAUAACUGCUCGGUCCUUGUGUAUUGCCUGGCAUUCAAUACCUAUUGAAUAGAGCUAAACAGCCCAAAGCCUGCCGGAAGACAUAGGCAAGUAACAAAAAGUUAUUUAAUAAUUAUUAUAAACAAAUACUUUCAAUGCAAGGCAGAAAGGAUGCUUGGAAUCACAGGGGAAGAGUAUGGACAGGUGCUAUAGAAGGGUCAUUGAACUCCUUUUAAGAUACCUGGGGGAGAAUUUCUAAGGAUGGUUUUGACAGAUGAGUAGAAGUGUUCAAGUGGAGUAAGAAAAAAGAGGAUGGUGGUAGAGAAAGGCAAAGGAGACAGAAUGAGUGAAGACAUGGGAGGCAGAAGAGGUACGGUGACAAAGAGAUGAAGGAGGGAAAGGAAACCGUGAAGGGCUUCCUAUGCCAUCCCAGGAAGUCUGCUCAUCUCAGACUUUAAUGUGCUAAAGAAUCUUCUGGGACGUUGUUAAAUGCAGGACUGAUCUGUGGUAUGAUAGGGCCUGAGACUGUACAUUUCUGCCAAGUUCUCAUGGUGGUAGAACUGGUCCAUGGGCCAUAUGAUGGGUAGCAAGGCUUGGACAGAAGAGUCAAAAGAGUCCCAAAGAGGAGAGUGACAUGAUCAGAUUUAUUUACUAGGAAGCUCACUGAGCUACAGUGUGGAUGAUGGACUAGAAUUACGGGUACUUUAUACAUUCUUAUUUCAUGGUGAGCCCCACAACAUCCCCAAGACAUAACACCAGAGGACUACAGACUCUUAAGAGUUGGAAAGGGUCAUAGAGAUAAUGUGGUUGAACUUUCUUUGAAGAAUAUGAAAGAGAGCUCUUAAAAGGUGAUAAGAUCUCCCCAGGCUGAGAGAGCUAACUGGUGGCAAAGCUUGGGGUCCAGGACCUAGAUCAUUUCACCAAAAUCUACUUACCCCUGCUCUUUCUGGCAGCUGCUCUACUCCAGGACAUCAACUUACAUGCAGAAAGCUGAAUUGUUAUUGAGCAUUCAUUGAAAUUAAGAAAAAAAGGGUUCAGGGAAAUAGUCCUUGUUCAGCCACUCAGAAUUAUGGUGGAUAUGUAUACUGUACAUGCCAGGUUAGGAGAAGUCCCAGAAGGGCAGGUCAUCUGGCAGUAUUUCCAGGUAUUAGAUUCCAUGUGCCCCUUCCUUCAGUCUUGGGUCUUGGAAACAUGCCAGAAGUGCAGAUUCCCUUGUGGGUAAGUAGGUUAAUGCUUACAUGUUCUUGGUGGGUGUUCCAAAACUGCUUUGUAGCUAUAGGAAUGUUUGAUGGAGCAGGUGGUGGGAGAAAGGGGAACUAACAUGGCUCCCAUGCCUAAUCCGUGCUAUACACUGACCUACACUAUUUAUUUCUUAAGUAUCAUAUACAUAAUGCAUUCUUUUUUUCUUAUUUCACACCUCAGGAAAGUAAGGUUACUAGAAGAAAAAAGGAGAAUUGAUGAGAAAAUAGUAAAGUGGAAGCAGCAGAACCACAGGUUUUUGGGAAAUGAAAAAGAUCUAGAAAAACAGAGUCAUUUUAGUUAUCUCUAACCAUGGGGUCUGGCCUUCCGGGAAAACAGCAGAAUAGGGAGGAAGAGCACACUCACAUCUCAGUGUGUCCCUGAUGAACAAACAACACUGUUUUAAGAAGCCACUUCCAGGAUAAGAGGGGUCUUAUUAAAAGGUUAAAGUAGCAUGGACCAGAUGCAGUGUUAGGGGAUUACAGGCAGGAUCUCACUCUGUAACAGGAAGUAAAUCCUGACAAUUCAUGCAAUCACAUGUCUUCUGUUUGGUCUGUGAACCAGUGACUGAUGCAUUGAGAAACAGCUGAUGUCAGUCUUUCUUAAAACUUGUGGAAAGGGGAAGUAACAGGAAAAAAAAUUAUUAUUAACCAGCUGAGUAAUCUGAAUGCCAAAUCAGCAAGAAUCUUAUUUAGACCUAGUAAGGAUAUGAUUUUUCAUGGAUCUAAGAAGCCAGGAAGUCUUGGACUCAUUGGAGAGUCUCUAAGGGACAAUUGUGAAAUGGCCAACUUUGAAGGAGAAUACAAAAAGACAUUAGAAAUUUCAUCUCCUUUAAAGGGGUAAGAUGAAGGUUUAUAAAUUCACCCACAGAAAACUGAAAAGAAAGCCCCUUUUAAAAGGUGUAUUACAUACAUCUUCCUUUUGCCCCGUCUUAUGCCAUAAAGGCAGUUCAAAAUUUUUGACCUAAGUGUAUAUUGACCCUGUGCUGAGCACUAUUGUAUGAAUUAUCUCAUUUAAUGCUCAUUAUUAUGUAGGUAUAAUUAAUACUAUAAUAUUACACAGAAAGAAAGGAAAAGCUUAAAUAAGCCAGUAUUCUAACUGUUUUGGUAGCCUGACUCUUCUGACAGGUUAAAAACACAGAUCCAGAUGAACUCUGUUUUGUCAGGGGCGAUGUUCAACGAGAAGUUAUACACGGUGCAUGGCUCCACAGGACCUUUUUGUUACCUGAUUUCUGAGCAGAAGGACUGCCACCGUAUUCCUCUGGAGGUCAAAAUACUUUCUUGGAUGAUAGAAGCCAUCUAAGACCGCAAAGGAUAAGGGUAAACAGCAGCAGGCCCAGGAAAGAGCUUGAACCUGACUCAGGAGAAUAAACUUCAGAAGUAUAGAGACCAGAUCUUCUAUUUUCCUUCCCCAGGAGUCUUGGCUCAGGCUGGAUGAACACAGAAAGAGAAAGAGUCCUUUGAAAGAGUCUCACUGUCACCCAGGCCAGAGUACAGUGGUGUGAUCACAGCUCACCACCGCCUCGACCUCCCAGGCUCAAGCGAUCAUCCUACCUCAGCCUCCCAGGACUGCAGAUGCAUGCCACCACAUCCAGCUAAUUUUUGUACCUUUCGUACAGAAAUUUUCACCAUUUUGCCCAGGCUGGUCUCGAACUUCUGGACUGAAGGAAUCCACCCUUCUUGGCCUCCCAAAGUGCUAGGACUCCAGGCAGGAGCCACUGUGUCCAGCCAGUAAUAACGUCUUUAUUUUGGAAGCAAACAGGGAGUAGGCAGAGAUGAGCAAACUGAAACACAGAAAAGCCAAGCAACUGUCUUUAUCCAGUGAAGAAGUGUGUGCGAGAAUUCGGACCAGGCAAUGUGACUCCGGGUUCUAUGCUCUUUACCUCCAUGCCAGUCUGCCCGUUCUCCUGUGCCCUUUUCAUUUGAGAAGUUGCUGUUUGCCUCCCAGCUUACGGUUCAGGUUGCCACGGUGGGAGCCAUUUUUUUCACAGCACUUAGUCCAACUCUCUUGUUACAGCUUACUGGGUGACAGGUAGAUCCCUGAUCAGUGGCAAUCUAUGGCUAUUCUGCAGUCUGUCACUCAGGUAGGCUCUCACUCCGUGGCAUUUAAAUGAAGCAACUUGGAAAGAAUUUGCUAGUUCUCAAGGAACAGGAAGAAGUGGAUGGGUGGCCUGUAGAUGAGUCAUGUUUAAAGUAACUUAUCUAUAAUAAAGGUAUUAGAGCUUCUGCUACUUGAGAUUCUAGAGCACCUUCAAUUCAGAUCCACUCUCCCACUCAUUUCUCUGGGAUUCCCAAGCCUAUUAUGGCUCAGUCUUUUGAAUUUCCCUGGGAGUCCUUUUAUUGUACCACGAGAAACCCUACAACAAUCUUGCUUUACUUGAGUUAGCUCAAGUGGGUUUCUGUUUCUUAUCCUAAUAGCCAAACUACAAGAACACACAUUGCCAUAUUUAGAAGUACUUGUGCAUCUCCCUGAGCUGCCCCUUCUCCAAGGAAAGCACCCCCAGUUCUUUCUGUCAAUCCUCAUGCCAUGUGUUCACUCCCUUUCUUGUUCCUCCCGCUCUGGACCGUGCAGUUAUAGCCUUUGAAAAUGGACUAAUACGGAGGCUGGAAUUGGAAGCCACUUAUUUUAUGUGUAAAGAAUGAGCCUGCCAGCCUCAAAAUUUCUUUCUUAGCACCUGGCGAGACUCUUCCCUGCAGCCCUAAAAUUGGUUCUGUUUACAAGAGGGCACACUGUAACUGGAGCUAUGACUAACAGCAGAGAACAAGCCCCCUGCCUUCCGCCCUCCACCCGGCACGCAAAUGGGUAAGAGUAGGCCCCUUGAAGAAAAGCAUCGGAAAUUGGGGCGGGGAGUUUUUCCCAAGCCUGUCCUAGCUUGAAGGCAUUUUAAAGGAGAAACCCUGAUGGACUGUGUCUCCCCAGCUCUGGGGAAGGAACUGCAAACUGGCAGGCAGCCAGCUUGCAGUAGAGAGGAACUCCUCCAGCCCAUUCCCCCUGGUGGUGGUUGUGUUCAGGUCAGUACUAACUUUAGCCCUGCAGUCCUCAAAUGGGGACAGUCCACUAGUGGAUUAAAUCCUCCUUAAAUGACUUAGAAACUUUUAGCCAGAGAUCAGGGGAAAGGAAAUGAUUUCAUUUAUUCUCUGCUGGUUCACCAUGACUUCUGAGGAAGCCAUUCUCCAGUGUUUUGCAGAAUAAUAACACUUUCUAUUCAUAUAUCAUUGAUCUCCCAGGAGCUCAAAGUUUUCCACAAGAUCUUAUCAGCUAAUUUCACCUGGGGUGCUUGGGAAGAAGGGAGGAAGCGAGGAUAACAUUUACUUUCUCUUCUCUUUAACUUUUAAGUUCCGGGGUACAUGUGCAGGUUUGUUACAUAGACAAACUUGUGUCCCGGGGGUGUGUUGUAGAUUAUUUCAUCAUCCAAGUAUUAAGCCUAGUACCCAUUAGUUAUUUUUCCUGAUCCUGUCCCUCCGCCCUCCACCCUCUGACAGGCCCCAGUGUGUGUUGUUCCCCUCUAUGUGACCAUGUGUUCUCAUUAUUUAGCUCCCACUUAUAAGUGAGAACAUGCACCCAAAGGAAUAUAUUCUAUUAUAAAGACACAUGUACACGUAUGUACAUUGUAGUACUAUUCACAAUAGCAAAGACACAGAAUCAACCUAAAUAUCAAUCAACAACAGACUAAAUAAAGAAAAUGUGGUACAUAUAUACUAUGGAAUUCUACGCAGCCAUAAAAAAACAGUGAGAUCAUGUUCUUUGCAGAGACUCAAUGGAGCUGGAGGCCAUUAUUCUUAGCAAACUAACAUAGGAACAGAAAACCAAAUACCGCAUGUUCUCACUUAUAAGUGGUUGCUUUAUUUUCUUCCUUGCAGUCACUCUUUCAGCUGAGACCGCUGUCCCUCAGAAAGACAGGUGAGGGUAAGCAAUGCUGAGACAUUUCUCAUUAUGUAAGUUGGCUUAUGGUAUUAUCCCUGUACUGGCUUCAUGCUGGGUGUCCAACUACCCACCAGUAGGUCACUAUCCUCUUUCUGUAGUUUACUUGCCUCAUUUCAAUGUGGAGUAAAUACCCUCAUGUUGGGUUGGAGAAACUGGGGCUCAGAGAAUCUGUGCAGGAUGACUGAGUUCUCAUGCCAGGUUAUGGGUGAGUCUGGAGCCAAUGUUAUCACAUGUUCAGCUACUGACAUGUCCCUCUACGUUCUUCCUGCCUGCAGUGCGCAGGGAGUGGUUCCAAAGCUGAGGUUGGCCAUAACUCUCUGAAUCUGAAAAGAUGUGUCCUGAAGUGUGUUUGAGGAUAAAAGAGGGAUGCACACUUGAUCCGGAAGGCCUGACCCCAAGUUGGCUGGCCGGCAUUCUGAAGUGGCUUUUUUCAGACCCACAUCCUGUGCAGCGCUCUGCCGAUCAGUCUGCCUCUCUGGGACUUGAAUAUUUCAAAAAGGAUCUAAAGGGCCUUUCAAAUGGUACCGGGACAUAAAUAGCUUUCACAGAAGAAUGAAUGUUGCCUCAGUGAUGUGAUGACUGAAUCAGCACCACAUUGAAUUAGCAGCAAUCUGGUGCUCUGGGUAAUGGAGUGAUGGUAAAUGAACAUUAUUACAUUUUUACCCAAUGAAUGAGUCCUUAAUAAAAAAGACAAAUGGCUUCCAGGUGUCUUGCCACAAAAUUUCAACAACUGAGUCACUCAAGCUGGAUGGAAGAACAAGAGGCAGUAUAGAAUCUGCUCGUGAUUCAGUGGCCGCCAACUUGGAUCGUCCCCAGUUCCAACUUUAGCAUCUUUCUUUAGUCAUUCUACCGCACAGUCAGUUCCCCUUGUGUAGAUGCACAACAGGAGGAAAUUCUAAUGAAAGGACAAAGCUGCCACUGUCCCAUCUGACCAAGCUUCCCCAGAGAGAACAGGCUCCCCAUACCAGGAAAUACUGUUCCUGAGAGGAAACACCUGUGGCUGGUCUGUGGCCGGGUCUGGAAUUUCUGGCCAUUCCAGAGCAGGACCGAUUGAUGUCCCGACUUCUGUGGUUGCUAGGAUGUAAGGUAAUUCCUCAGGAAUGUUCUGUCGCUGGCUCAGCACAGCCUCUGCUGUCAUGGCAGGAGGUGGGAUGGCUUGGAAGUCUUGCCUCUGUCAUAACUAACACUGACAUGAGGUGGCUUGGGAUCUCUCUGGGUCUUAGUUUUCUCAAUUGUGAGGUUCAUGGCCAAGAAAGGAGUUGGGAAAGGAUCAGGUGACAAACACAAAUGCCUCUGGGGGCCAAAUAGGUGAGAGGAAUGAAUGGAUUGUCUGGGUGUAAGACAAUAGGAAUGGUGGCGCCUGUGAGGAAGUGGAGAAUAAAUGCCUUGCCUAAAGAUGUUCAAGUUCAAAUAAAACAACAAUCACCAGAACCCAUAUCGUAGGCCAAAUAAAACACCAAGUUGAUCUGAUGACUGGAGUUUCCAACCUGUUCUGGAAGGUUGCUUCUAGUUUUCAUGAUCCAGCCUUUAUCUGGAAGUAUGUAUUCUUACAUAUCAGAAUUCCUAAUUCUAUUAUGUAUAUGAUAUAUCAUUUCAAAUGUGAGAAAGUAUAUGUAUCUAAUGCUGGGAAUAAAAUUCAGGGGAAAUGCAGAUCAAUAUAGGCUUUUAUAGACUAAAUCAUAGGAAAAAUCAUUGGUCUGAAGUUGUUGGUUAGAAAAAAAUAUUAAAUGUAUGUGGUAGGAUGUGACUCAGAGGUCAUUUAAGUUCCUCUGAGCCACACAUCUGGGAAGACAGGGAAAAUGAGCCCCUUCUAAAUCACACACUCCUCCUGUUCAGAGCCUAAUAAUUUUUCAUCUGAUUUGUAUGUAGGCCUGUGUGCAGGGACUGUGCAUAUCUUAUUAAACACUGUAUGUGACCCUGGUACCUGACACCUAAUAGGGGCUCAAUACCUAUAUGAUAAAUAAAUGAAUGAGUUUGUGAAAAUUGUAGUAGGCCUAGGUUUUAGUCUUUUCUCUUUUAAACGACCUAAUAUGUGUUGAUUGCAUAAUUUAUUUUAAAAGCAUAUAUGUAAUCAUGCCAAUUCUUUGCUCAAAGCCUUCUAAACAUGCCACAUUGCCUACACAACAAAUCUUGAAUUUCUUGGCAUGAUUUUUAUUUCCAUGUUCUGAUUUAUUCUUUCUGUUUAGUUCUAUCUUCAAGUGAUGUUGCUUCCCCUGCCCCCAUAUCAUAGCCUAGCUUAACUACUUGUUCCCUAAACAAAUUCUUUCAUUUUUAUGACAUUCCCUCUGUAGUGCCCAGCUCUCCUUUUUCCCCAGCAAAGUGUUAUCCAUCCUUCAAGAUGCAAAUGUCCCCUCUCCAAGAAACCUUGCUUUAUUUAAAAGCCAAAUCAGAAAUAAUUUCUUUCUUCUGUGCCUUCGGCAUAUCUCAGAUACGGUGAGUAUUACAUUCUGCCUUAAGUCGUAGCUAUUUAUUUACAUACCCACAUCCUUUAUACCCAUGUAUAGAAUCUAGACGUCUAGAUUCUAUAGAGUCUAGGUAGUGUCUAGUCCAGUGUCUAGAAUCUAGAUAGUAAACUUCUUAAAAGCAUGGACUAUAAGUUGUUCUUCUUUGCCUACUUCAUAAACACGAAGGUAUUCAAUGAAUUUAUGUUGAAUGAUCAAACUGAAAAGUCUACCAUUAUUAGUUGUUUUUGAUUGAUGGAGAAAUUUUGGGGGCUAUCAGUUUACAGUUAGAGGAGCCCUUAACAAGCAAGUUUAGUGAGAAAAGAUAAUCCAAGGAAAAGUGUCACCUUUUGGGACAGAAUUGUAUAAAAAUAUAUAGAAAAACACAAAAGCAAUUCAGCCUAAGACAUAGAGUACAGUUUGCCAAAGGGUUUAAGUAGCUUUCUGUUGAUUAUAAAGUCAGGGAUCUGAACUGUUGUUGAUGUAAAGAUGGAUAGUAUUACAAAGACAAGCUCCGAAAAGGAGUGUUGGUCUGCACAGAGCCUGGAAAUAAACAACUGAGACAUGGGAACUCUCACCAUGUCUUUCCUGUUGUUCAGAAAAGAGGGUAGGCCAUUUUCACUGACUGGUUCCAGUUUUUUAGAGUGAAAAGAGGAAAUUUAUUAGGCUUCCAUAGCUAUUAAACAUAUCUCACACUGUGUGUUCUAAUUCUGCAUUCACUAAAUAAUUUUCUGAUCUAUAAUUUGUUUAUUAGUUUUACUAAUGAGCACCUAUAUGCUGGCUCUGUUGAGAACUUUUAUGUAUAGUAUCUUACUUAACUUUCAUAACAACCUUCUGAGGUAGGUAUUAAGAGCCCCAUUUUUAGAUGAAGAAUCAGACUAAGAGAGGUUAAGUACAAUGAGAACACAUGGACACAGGGAGGGAAACAACAGACACUGGGGCCUGUUGGUGGGAGUCAGGGAAUGGAGAGCAUCAGGACAAAUAACUAAUCAUGUGGGGCUUACU